AUAAUCAAUUGUUUAAUAAAUUUAAACUAGAAUGAAAGGAGUAAAGAAAGUUUACUAUUAACAUGUAAUCAACAGAAAUUAUAACUAAAGUGAAAAUUCCCUACAGCAAUCUUAAAACGAGAAGACCCUAGAAACUAAUAAUCACAACCUUUUUUGGGAUAAAACCUUAAAAUAAAAGAAUCAACAUCCUUUAAAAUAAAAUAGUUACUCUAGGGAUAACAGCACAAUAAAAGUUAAGAGAACUAAUCUACCCUUUAGAUUGUGACCUCGAUGUUGAAUCAAGAAUUACCGGUUGUAGAAGACCAGCAAGUUUCGUCUGUUCGACGACACAUAAAUACGUGAUUUGAGUUUAAACCGUCGCAAGACAGGUUGGAUUCUCUUUAAGACUGCAACAUUCAACCAUUAUA
rnacentral:rRNA from 1 species